rnacentral:rRNA from 1 species
AUGAGUAUUAUAUGAUGGAACUGUCGAGGAUUGGGGUCGGCCUCGACAGUUGGCGAGCUUCACUGGCUUGUGAACCUUCACCGACCCACCCUCCUCUUUCUGUCUGAGAUGAAGAUGAGGGAUUCCCGUGUCCGUAAUUUUAUGUGGUCUUUAGGUUUUUCUGGUUGUUUUGCUAUCAGUUCAGAGGGUCAAAGUGGUGGACUAGCUCUUUUUUGGAAGGAUUCGGUGACUGUAUCUUUGAAGGCAUGCAAUUCGAGAUGUAUUGAUGUUCGUGUAUCUUCUGACAUGGCUCCUACAUGGAGAGCUAAUUUUGUUUAUGGGGAGCCAAGAAUAGAAGAUAGAGUUCAUUUUUGGAGCCUUAUUCGGCGUCUGAAGCCGAUGUGGAAUGGUCCAUGGAUUAUUUGUGGGGAUUUCAAUGAGGUUCUUGAAGGAAAUAUGCCCUAG